rnacentral:rRNA from 1 species
CGUAGGGUGCGAGCGUUAAUCGGAAUUACUGGGCGUAAAGCGUGCGCAGGCGGUUCGACAAGUCUGAUGUGAAAUCCCCCGGGCUCAACCUGGGAACUGCGUUGGAAACUGUCGGGCUAGAGUGUAGAAGAGGGGGUAGAAUUCCACGUGUAGCAGUGAAAUGCGUAGAGAUGUGGAGGAAUACCGAUGGCGAAGGCAGCCCCCUGGGCUAACACUGACGCUCAUGCACGAAAGCGUGGGGAGCAAACAGGAUUAGAUACCCUGGUAGUCCACGCCCUAAACGAUGUCUACUAGUUGUUGGGAGAGUAAAAUCUCUUAGUAACGCAGCUAACGCGUGAAGUAGACCGCCUGGGGAGUACGGUCGCAAGAUUA